UCGUCAGAGAGGUUGUAAUCAGCUAUAUUGAACUCCUCCAUGUCGGAGUUCGAUGCUUGGAGCACAAACGCUAUGGCCGAGUAUUCAGCCGCUUCCAGGUCUCGAGUCGCCAGAGCUCCUUCCCUUAGAGAUUGCUUCAGUUUGUCGACUAUACAGCCAUCGUUCAGCUCAUUUAAGCAAUAGAACAGGUUCAGGCAUCGUUCCGCAGGAAUGUCCCUGUGUAAAGUUCUCUUGAUGUAGGCUGCAGUCCGUGUGGCGUCCUCGCCGUCGCUCACCCCCUGGCUCGACAGACCCUGCAAAAGUUGGAGGUUCUUUUCUGUUGACAGGCCACAGAGGAAGCGGAAAAACAUAUCCAGGUGCCCAUUUUGACUCCACACUGCUUUCUUGCAUGCACUUUUACAAACAUCAGAAAAGCUGGGACGGGAGACUAGGCCUCGCAACUUCGUCAUCAGCCCCUUUGCCAGUGGGUUUGGGUGCUGGCCCAUGUGGUGCUGAAGGAAAACAUACAGGGCAGCAAAAUACUCCUGCAUUGUCAGGUGUAUGAAGGCAUAAGCCUUGUGCUGAAAGAUAGGCUCGUCUUGGAGGAGGAUCUCUUUGCAAAAGCCAUCACAUAGCAGAGAUAGGUCUACCCUAAAUGACUCCAUGUCCCUUUGAUGGAAGACCAGCUUCUGGACUUUCAGACAAUGGAAAGCCAACCUUCCCAGGUUCAGAAUGACUGGGCGCUUAGCUUGCAGCAAGUCACUGACCUUUUCCCUCUCAGUUACCCCGUGGCUCUGCUUAUCUUGGUGGUACAUUAUCAUCACAAUCAAGAAGUUGCUGUAGACCUCAGUGAUGGUUCUGGGGAUAUGUUGGUGGAUGUCGGUCUCACUGCAAGAUUUCAUGGCAUGUAGCAGGACAGUGGCCAGAAUCCAACAGAAAGCUGGGACAUAGCACAUGGUGAAAAGGCUAGGUUGCCUCAUUAUAUUGGACAAAAUCAUAUCCGCCCUUCCUUUGCAUUUUUUGCGAAAGUAUUCCUCUUUCUCUUCAUCUCGAAACCCUUGAAUUUCCGUCAGUCUGUCAAUGUAAGCAGCUGGGAUUUGGCGGGCAGCUGCAGGGCGGGCCGUUAUCCAAACGGAGGCAUGGGAAAGCAGGGUUCCUUUAAUUAAAUUCACGAGGAGAACAUGGAGUUUCAUCAUGUGCUCGACAUCAGCAUAUUCGGGGCUUUUAUUGAAAUCCAAGCAGAGACGACUUUCAUCCAAGCCAUCAAAGAUGAAGAGACAUUUGAUGUUGGUGUCCUUUAAGAAGGUUGCCGUGUCCCCAGUGUGAGGGUAGUAUCUCUGGACCAGUUGGCUGAUGCUGAGUUUACUUUCUGUCAGCAGAUUGAGUUCCCGGAACGGGAACAUGAACAGGAAGUCAAAGUCCAAGCCCGCCGAGCCAUUACUCCAAUCAUAAACAAACUUAUGCACACAGAUAGUUUUCCCAAUUCCCGCCAAUCCCUUGGUUAAGGUGAUCCUUGGUGGCCGGGAUUGCUGCAGCGAACAGACGAAUAUUUCUGUGUAGUCAAUGGAACGGGCACCAGACCUUUCCUGCUUGGACAUAGCUUCAAUAUCCAUCACCUCAUGUCUUUGGGGAAUCGAGUUGCAGUCGCCUUCAGUUAUCCAAAGUAAAAAGAAAGAAGAUGACCCAGGGAGAUCUUCAGAUGGAAGAAGAAAGGCACAGAAGAUGACAGCGGCUGUGCAGUUUUAAAAUUAAGUGUCUUACUGGAAUUUGGGAGUUCCCUAUCUUUCAUAUUUUAACAGAUUACGGAGUGAGUAAGGAAGAAAGAAACAGAAGUUGGGACAGCUGUUGAUGAGCAGAAGCUAAAAGAAUUGCUGGGCGUGAUCAUCAAUCUGAACAGCAGCAAACACCAAUGACCCAGACGCUUUUCCUUUCUGAUCGACAUUUCUGUAAAAUGAAAAUAUGCGUUCUUACAGCAUAUGUACUCAUAAUUACAUCCUUACAUUAAAUCAUUCCUUCACAAUUAUAGAUGAGAGAUCAGUUAUUUGAAGCAUUAGCUCCCCACAGUUGCUGUCUGACCUGAUUUGCAUUUCUAACUUUUCAGAUUCUAUUUGAUUUCCAGUGUUAAUAAUACUUUACUUUGGAAAAGCGUUCUGUUUUUCUUUCAACUGAUUCCACAUGGAUGUGGAUUUGAUGAGGAGGAAGCAACUAUUUUGUAAUGUACUGUGAGUGACUAUCUCCUCUAUUUUUAUUUCAGUCUGUUUGGCCAUGUUAUGACUACCACUGCAUUGAGUGGGACUUGAACCCAGACCUUCUAUCCCAGAGUCAGGGACAUGGCAUCAGAAGACACAUGACCUAUGUCUUUUCAAUGACAGACAUUAUAUGGCAUUUUGCUUAGGUCCCAGUUCAUCCAAAGAAGUGGAGUAUUUGAUGCUUUACUGAGUAUAGGGUUACCCAGGAAACAAAACCAGGAUCAACAGAAGGUUUCACUCCACAUAACUCCAAUGCUGGAUUCCAGCUUAGAAGGAAAAUUAAAUGUGGGAUCGGAGGGCAACUGCAGACUUGAUGGGCUGAAUAGCCUGUAUCUGCACUGUAAGGAUUCUAUAAAUGAUAAAUCCAAUACCAAAUAAUUUCUU